rnacentral:rRNA from 1 species
UGGGGAAUAUUGCACAAUGGGCGCAAGCCUGAUGCAGCCAUGCCGCGUGUAUGAAGAAGGCCUUCGGGUUGUAAAGUACUUUCAGCGGGGAGGAAGGGAGUAAAGUUAAUACCUUUGCUCAUUGACGUUACCCGCAGAAGAAGCACCGGCUAACUCCGUGCCAGCAGCCGCGGUAAUACGGAGGGUGCAAGCGUUAAUCGGAAUUACUGGGCGUAAAGCGCACGCAGGCGGUUUGUUAAGUCAGAUGUGAAAUCCCCGGGCUUAACCUGGGAACUGCAUUCGAAACUGGCAGGCUAGAGUCUUGUAGAGGGGGGUAGAAUUCCAGGUGUAGCGGUGAAAUGCGUAGAGAUCUGGAGGAAUACCGGUGGCGAAGGCGGCUCUCUGGUCUGUAACUGACGCUGAGGCUCGAAAGCGUGGGGAGCAAACAGG